GACGAACUGUGCGAACGUUAUUCGGAAUCACUGGGCUUACAGGGUGCGUAGGCGGCCACGUAAGUAGGGUGUGAAAUCCCCCGGCCCAACCGGGGAACUGCGCUCUAAACUACAUGGCUUGAGUGAGCUAGGGGUCCACGGAACUUCCAGUGGAGCGGUGAAAUGUGUUGAUAUUGGAAGGAACACCGGAGCCGAAAGGG
rnacentral:rRNA from 1 species